AUGCUGGAGGUAUCAGAAGUGCGAAUGCUGACAUAAGUAACGAUAAAGCGGGUGAAAAGCCCGCUCGCCGGAAGACCAAGGGUUCCUGUCCAACGUUAAUCGGGGCAGGGUGAGUCGACCCCUAAGGCGAGGCCGAAAGGCGUAGUCGAUGGGAAACAGGUUAAUAUUCCUGUACUUGGUGUUACUGCGAAGGGGGGACGGAGAAGGCUAUGUUGGCCGGGCGACGGUUGUCCCGGUUUAAGCGUGUAGGCUGGUUUUCCAGGCAAAUCCGGAAAAUCAAGGCUGAGGCGUGAUGACGAGGCACUACGGUGCUGAAGCAACAAAUGCCCUGCUUCCAGGAAAAGCCUCUAAGCAUCAGGUAACAUCAAAUCGUACCCCAAACCGACACAGGUGGUCAGGUAGAGAAUACCAAGGCGCUUGAGAGAACUCGGGUGAAGGAACUAGGCAAAAUGGUGCCGUAACUUCGGGAGAAGGCACGCUGAUAUGUAGGUGAAGCGACUUGCUCGUGGAGCUGAAAUCAGUCGAAGAUACCAGCUGGCUGCAACUGUUUAUUAAAAACACAGCACUGUGCAAACACGAAAGUGGACGUAUACGGUGUGACGCCUGCCCGGUGCCGGAAGGUUAAUUGAUGGGGUCAGCGCAAGCGAAGCUCUUGAUCGAAGCCCCGGUAAACGGCGGCCGUAACUAUAACGGUCCUAAGGUAGCGAAAUUCCUUGUCGGGUAAGUUCCGACCUGCACGAAUGGCGUAAUGAUGGCCAGGCUGUCUCCACCCGAGACUCAGUGAAAUUGAACUCGCUGUGAAGAUGCAGUGUACCCGCGGCAAGACGGAAAGACCCCGUGAACCUUUACUAUAGCUUGACACUGAACAUUGAGCCUUGAUGUGUAGGAUAGGUGGGAGGCUUUGAAGUGUGGACGCCAGUCUGCAUGGAGCCGACCUUGAAAUACCACCCUUUAAUGUUUGAUGUUCUAACGUGGACCCGUGAUCCGGGUUGCGGACAGUGUCUGGUGGGUAGUUUGACUGGGGCGGUCUCCUCCUAAAGAGUAACGGAGGAGCACGAAGGUUGGCUAAUCCUGGUCGGACAUCAGGAGGUUAGUGCAAUGGCAUAAGCCAGCUUGACUGCGAGCGUGACGGCGCGAGCAGGUGCGAAAGCAGGUCAUAGUGAUCCGGUGGUUCUGAAUGGAAGGGCCAUCGCUCAACGGAUAAAAGGUACUCCGGGGAUAACAGGCUGAUACCGCCCAAGAGUUCAUAUCGACGGCGGUGUUUGGCACCUCGAUGUCGGCUCAUCACAUCCUGGGGCUGAAGUAGGUCCCAAGGGUAUGGCUGUUCGCCAUUUAAAGUGGUACGCGAGCUGGGUUUAGAACGUCGUGAGACAGUUCGGUCCCUAUCUGCCGUGGGCGCUGGAGAACUGAGGGGGGCUGCUCCUAGUACGAGAGGACCGGAGUGGACGCAUCACUGGUGUUCGGGUUGUCAUGCCAAUGGCACUGCCCGGUAGCUAAAUGCGGAAGAGAUAAGUGCUGAAAGCAUCUAAGCACGAAACUUGCCCCGAGAUGAGUUCUCCCUGACCCUUUAAGGGUCCUGAAGGAACGUUGAAGACGACGACGUUGAUAGGCCGGGUGUGUAAGCGCAGCGAUGCGUUGAGCUAACCGGUACUAAUGAACCGUGAGGCUUAACCUU
rnacentral:rRNA from 1 species